UGACAAGGAGGCAAAACAAGUUUUGGAAAAGAGCUGUGUAGAGAUACUUGAUCCACUCCUAUUGAAUUUGUUGCUUGAAUUCUCCAAUGAAGUUGCGGACAAUGAUGAAUCCGAAGUGUU